rnacentral:lncRNA from 1 species
UAUAAGUUGAAGUUUAACGUUAACUCACGUGUUUGUGUAGUGAUCUAAUUACAUAAUUUCUUUUUAUUCCCGUUUUAAAAAAGUGUACUAAGCAAUAAUAAUUUUCUUUCAGUAAUUCAAUAACUACUUGAACUCUGAUCGACAGAGACGAUACUGCACAUAAAUGUUAAGGUGGUUCAUUUACAAAUCAAUAUUCUCUACUUGCUUCGAUACUACGUACCGUUUUGCGAAGUGGUGACGUGACAAAAUGACCUCAGGCGCCACGUUUACUACCAAUAAGCGGGACGUGUUUGUUCAUAAUAAAACUCCCGGCUGCUAAUAAUUUGAAUAAGCAACUGAUUUUCGUUACAUCCAUUCAAUCAUGACGCAUACCUGUCGACGAUUCCGCUUUGUACAACUCGCGGGGCUCAAACCCGACUCCAAUAUUCCCCGCAACGUGACUGCUGACGCCCAUCGUGAGACAUGACGUCAGUCUCAAUUGUAACGUACUGACCCUUGAAACUAAUUAUUUCAGACGCAUGACUUAUUUGUGGCAAAAAAUGAAUUACGUUAGUGGUAUUUAUAGAUACAAGGUUUAUAAAUGAAAUAAAUACCUAUAAGAAAAUGUAUUGUUAUAAUUUCUCAACUGUUUUCUUUUUUGUAAGUCUAUGAAUAUUUGUAUGAUGGCACUAUGAAGCUUGAAUAUGUUGCAAUGAAAUUAUUCAGUUGAAAACAGAAAAUAGUUCAUUCAUCUAAUGUACCUUUGUCCAACUGCAAGUUAAAUUUUAAUAAUUAUAAAUUGCUUUAUAGUUUAAAGAAUAAAAAUAAAAAAAGAGAUUUAUAAAAUUACAUUGUGUAAUUUUGGGAUGAACUAAUUGUAAUUUUUGUGUGUGACAAACUUCACACGCAUAUUGCCUAUAUGUAUUCAAUGUAUUAUAAAUAAAUAAAAAUACUUUAUACAUUAUGUAUUGCUGUAUAAAAAUCUUUAUAAUAAUACUGUGUUGCUGUGUGGUACCUACAUAAUAAUAUCGAGCUAUCGUUUUCCGAGAAACGAUGGCGCGAGCGCAACGGCGCGUCGAGCGGCUUGUGACGGCGGGACGCGGGACGGGGCUAAUGCCCAACAGUGUAGGCAUACAUACGCAAGAGUUGUCCAAUAUGUGUAAUAUUAUAGUGAUAAUAGUUACCUAUGCUGCGAGUCAAGUCUUUAAUAAUGUAGUGGGGUCAACAUGAGUGAAAAUAUAACAUUGUUACUUUUGUUAUGGAAAUAACUCGACGCAGAAUCACGAUUCCAUAGCUAGUUGAGCUACCCCGCCCCGCGUGACUACUAAAUUACUCGACGCACAACACAAGUUAGUUUUCCAUCUAGCGUUAAACGUAGUUUCGUAAUAACUUAUUUGGAGAUUAAAUCCUCACAGAUAAUAUCGAUAUAAAUUUUGCUUCCUUCUACUUUUUUUCCUGAUAAAUAAUACGUGGAAUGUUGUACCUAGUUACUUUGGCACAAUAUACUAAAGAGGUUCAUUAAGAAAAAAAAACAUUAAAUUUUUUUUUGGCUUUGGCUGUGGCCAUUUAAUUUUUGAAUUUUUCUUUUAGUUUUUAAACUAUAGAUUUCAUAAUUUACAUAAUAUAUCCGUUUCACCAUCCACCCCUUAAACCAGUAUGUAAAUAUGUAAUGAUAAUACAUACAACAAAAUGAAAUGAUUCAUUCGUUGUUUCGAAAACUGGGUCAUCUACACUUAAAUGGCUUUGCGUAUUGAUAAUAAAAUUUAGGAACAUUUGUGGGAUCAGAUAUAUCAUUUGAUUUGCAUAAGCAACAUCGAUUUACUAAUCUUAAUAGCUUUAUACAUCUAAGAUCAAAAUCUGAUAAUAUGCUCUCAAAAACAGGAUUACGUAUCAGACACGAAUAUUUGAAUCCUAUUGGAAUAGUCGUUAUCUCGGAUAUGCGUAAAUAUUGCCACGACAUUUAAUACCAUGCCAUUUCAGCUUGAAAGGUUUUUGCAAGACUAACCGAUAGAAACCUAACUUAAUUAGUGCUAAGAAUAAUUGAUACUUGUCCGAGAUCAAUCUCAGACAUUACUCUUAACGAGCUAGACUCACGAGAUUUCGGCGCACCCUGUGUUCUCGUCUGUCAAAAAACUGAAAUAUUACCUCGCUAGUGUGGUCGUAUUAAAAUCUCAUAAUUUUUAUCAUAAAACAUCUUGACGUGGGAUUAGCCAAGUUAAACAGGUUUUAUUGAAGCUACAGCCUGAAUUCACGCGGCUUAGCGCAACAUUAAGGAUGAUCUCUAUUGCGCCACCGAUAUUUAUAUCAGAGCUGUGGAGAUUAAAAAAGCGAACUCGGUGAUACACAUGGGUGGUCCGUGAACACGGGUGGCAAGGCGUGCAAUCGACUCAUUUUUAUCAAGAAGCCAAGAGGCCAAUCGUUGAGAAAAAACUCAUGAAAACUGAUAUCAGCAUGUUUUUAUGAUCGCAGCUCAUUUCAAAACCUGGUCACACGAUUAGUGAUAUGUACCGUUAUGUACGGCACGUACUAUCAUAAGUUUCUGAUAUUUUUAUCUUGACUGUUGGCACGAUAGUAUUAACUCCGUGAACAAUAACCCUACAGAAACACUUUCUUUGGCAACGAAUAAAUUUGCGUCACAACUAGCCGUCGUUUCACACUAAAAGUAUCUACUAAGUAUCAGUGAAAAGUCCAUUGACUCAUAAUUAAACUUAAUGUAAAGAUUUAUUAAUUAUUAUUUAUUAUACAAUUUAAUUUAAGUAGGUAAAAGUGUGGUUUGGUAUUUACGAGCUUUUUAUGCACCAAAAAUGUAUUAAAAAUUAUUUAUUAAUUCAAAUCUAUUUUCACUCAUCGCCAUUUUCGCGUAAUAGCGUAAAAUUUAGCUGUUUCAAUUAUUAUAUUCUUGCAGUAAAAUGAAAUGAAUUAUAUGUAAAAUCUUGAUAUUAAGCCAUUAUCGUUUCUAAACAUCCGGAAAAUUUAUAAAAAGGUUAAUGAUCAGAAAUCCAAAUGAAAAAAAAUGUUAUUAAAUAUUGAUUCUUAAAUUUACAUAAUUGAAGAAUACGUGUGAAUUUAAUAACGUACCGUUAAGUUGCCUAGUUUGUUGUCAUCGUACUGUGGAAAGUUCCAGAGCUGUUUAAGCUACUUAUUAUGUAACCUUAAAUACAAGAAACUCUUUCUUGUGAGUAUUUAGUUUAAUAUUUUCCGUUGAUUUAAACCAAUUUCGUGUAAAUUGAUAUUUUAAAGCAAUCAACUCAUUUUUAAUUAGACAUGUUGAUAUGAUAAUAUCUACUUUUUUAGGAUUUACUUGUGUUUGUAUAAUAUCAUUUUGCACAUCUAAAUAUGAUUUUCAUUUUAACAAUAACUGCAAAUAGAGCGCUUGCAAAGUAGUGCGUGCUGGAUCCAUUAUCACAAAACACGAACGUCUAGGUUAAAGGGCAGAACGAUUAUGCUAUUGAGUGCGCAGUAAUACACACUCCAUGUUUACAGAAAACAACCGUUUUCGCAGCGCCGGCAUCUGUGAUCUCGCCGAACAUCAAAUGAAGUGAUAUUAAUUAAAAUAAUUAACAAAUGAGCGCAGGCAUGAAUUCAUUAAACUAGAACACAUAUUUCAUUUGUCCCUGAUUUUACAAUAUGAAUAAAAAUCGGGAAAAUGUCAAUUUUACAUGUAUUAAAAAAUAGCCGCCGAACAUUAGUUCAUUGUGCAGGAUAUGACUGGACAUUCGUAGCUGUGAACGAUGUGGGCUCGCUGAAUAUUAUAAUUAGUCGAGGCCGGUGUGAGUAAUGGCGUUGGAAAUAACACGCAGGCGGCGUUGGCGCCAAGCGAAGCGGCCAUCUCGGCGCACACAAUCGCAGCACAUAUCCCCUUGUGUGCGUUGCCGCCGACCGGUCUGUCUUGUGACUUGUACUAUUUAUGUUUCAAAUGACGUGACACUCGGCUGACUUAUUUGGCAACCUAAUAAUGCGUGUUUCUAGAUUUUAGAUAGAGACGAGGCUUUCAACGGCGAUCAUGAAAAUUGCCUAGUAUUUUUCGAAAACAAUUGAUGGAUUAAUUAAUAUUGUGUUUGAACCGUUUCUCGAAAACGAAGAGAUAUGGUACGGUUAAUGAUAGACGACAACGAAAAUUUUGCACUAUUGCUAAUGUUGAUUCAAAAUUUAUUGGCUUUAUGGACAUACGUUUUAAUUAUAUACGCGACGCAUACUUAAAUUCGAAAUAGCACGACGGACAUGUACGUCCAUAAUUUUACGAUAAAUCUCUAAAAAAAUUUAGGUACUUGUCACACAAUAGCAUUAUGUGAUGAUGAUAAAUUCUGUCCACUCACUUCAACCUAGUACCUACCUCAGUCUACAGGGUGCUCCAAAAAUACGUUACUUUAUUUUGCCCGCCAUUUUAAUAGGUAUCAUGGCUCAAGCUGUCACUACUUGACAUAUCAUUGCGCCACUUUGAGAAGGCGGCAUGGCCAGUGCCGGAUUAACCAUGUAGCAAGAGUAGCAAUUGCUACGGGCCCCGCGCGAACGUGGGCCCCGCAUAUUUAAACCCACUUAUCUCUGCCCGAGCUUAAUUUUUUCAGUGACUUAUUAAGAAAAAGUUGUUUGUAUAAACGUGUAGAAUUUCAAUCAGCCUGAUAAUCAGCUCUACAAAAAGUCUUCAAAAACAAAAUUAUUUUAUAGCUAGAUAAUCUCAUCUCUGGCUUUUUGUACUUGUCAGAGCCUAACAGCGCCUAUAGUAAUUUACUAAAUACCCACAAAAUUGUAACCUAUAGAUGGCAAAUAAACGU